UAACUACAACCUUGAACUUCACAAAUUGGCAGAGGGAGAGGAAGUUUUUCUGAUGUGAGUCAAUCCAUUUUCCCAGGGCUAAGAUAAGAAUCUGGGAUUUUCCAGUAGCCAGGCCACCAAGGCUCAAGCAGGCCCGAAGAAUUUCAAAAAGUGAGGCACUGAAUGUAGUGUGCCAAACUGAGUACUUAACUGGAUGUCCAAUUUUAGCCUGCAAAGUGAUCCCAGCCAACACCAGAAUUCGUGGAAGGUUCUCAGAGUGGAUCGGCACCCAACUCCAUACAGCAAGAGCCCGUCAUCACGGGCUGUCUUUGCACAAGUUCUCUACAGUCAUCUGCAAAUGAGUAUGAAAACUUUCCAGGGAUUUUAAUUUAGUAGCUAAGUUUCUUACUCAGAGCCAAAAAGCACC
rnacentral:lncRNA from 1 species